rnacentral:lncRNA from 1 species
CUGCUUCCUCUGGAACCAUACACAUGGGUUCGAUUACCAAAUAUUCGUAUGUAUUAUUAAUGUUUUUAAUGCUCCAUUUAUUGGCAUUAUGUUUUUCUGGUCUGUGCGUACGUUCGUCCGUUCGUCUGUUUGUUUGUCCGUUUGUCCAGCUUCAAGUUAAAUAAAAUUGAAACUUAGUACACAUUUUCCCUAUGGUAUGAUCUUUUUAAUUCUAAUGCCAAAUUACAGUUUUAUCCCAUUUU